CAGCAGCCGCGGGAACACGGAGGGGGCUAGCGUUGUUCGGAAUUACUGGGCGUAAAGCGCACGUAGGCGGCUUGGUAAGUUAGAGGUGUAAGCCUGGAGCUCAACUCCAGUAUUGCCUUUAAGACUGCCGAGCUAGCAGGUGAGAGAGGUAAGUGGAAUUCCGAGUGUAGAGGUGAAAUUCGUAGAUAUCGGAAGGAACACCUGUGGCGAAAGCGGCUCACUGGACAAUAACUGACGCUGAUGCACGAAAGCUAGGGGAGCAAACAGGAUUAGAUACCCCCGUAGUCCCUGUCUCUUAUAC
rnacentral:rRNA from 1 species